CCCCAUCUCUCCAGCUGUAUCCAUUUCCUUCUGGCAAAAAGGGACUUUAUGAAUAAAUGAUACUGAAUAGCUGAAGGUUCAGAUACUAAAUAAUGAAUUUCACCACCAAAAAACACAACAACUUCUCCAAUCAUAAAAUAGCGCUCCCCUUCCAUAUUGAUUGUGCUUUGCUUUGGCAACCAGAUGCAGAGCAACACGGCCAGCAAGCAUCCAUGUGCGCGCGAGAGAGGCGCGGGAUUUUUUUUUAACACGAGUCCAAAAAGCGGUGCACGGAAAACCGGGACUCGUGCUCCAGAAACAGCGCCGCUCCCGCCGGCUUAUGGAGUGUAUAAACGCGCGCCUGGGAUGGAGAGGAGAAAUGCAGUGGAGGGAGUGAAGGAGGAGGGAGGGGAGUAGGGCGGGGGACGGGUUCAAUUCACCGAAAGAACUUCUUCACGGGACGCCUAAUUCACAAAGAUCGCCGGGACUCGUGCCCCUGCAGCUGGAUUUGGCUUACAGAAUGGAGAAAAGUUUGGAUGAUAAGAUGGGAAGACAGCAGACUGUUGGACAGGUGCACAGGUAUGACAGAGUGAGACGUCUCGUGAUGCGCACGUGGCCGCUGUUUGUAAACAUACUUGUGCACAAAAUAAAAUCAUUACAACUCUUUUUUUUUUUCUUCAGAACAAUUAACACGACAAACAACGUUGUGUCUUUAUGUGAAAACAGGCAUUAAACAG